GACGAACGCUGGCGGCGUGCUUAACACAUGCAAGUCGAACGGAAAGGCCCUGCUUUUGUGGGGUGCUCGAGUGGCGAACGGGUGAGUAGCACGUGAGUAACCUGCCCUUGACUUUGGGAUAACUUCAGGAAACUGGGGCUAAUACCGGAUAGGAGCUCCUGCUGCAUGGUGGGGGUUGGAAAGUUUCGGCGGUUGGGGAUGGACUCGCGGCUUAUCAGCUUGUUGGUGGGGUAGUGGCUUACCAAGGCUUUGACGGGUAGCCGGCCUGAGAGGGUGACCGGCCACAUUGGGACUGAGAUACGGCCCAGACUCCUACGGGAGGCAGCAGUGGGGAAUAUUGCACAAUGGGCGGAAGCCUGAUGCAGCAACGCCGCGUGCGGGAUGACGGCCUUCGGGUUGUAAACCGCUUUCGCCUGUGACGAAGCGUGAGUGACGGUAAUGGGUAAAAAAGCACCGGCUAACUACGUG
rnacentral:rRNA from 1 species